UACCUCAAAAAACCACAACAGUCUGUUUCAUCCAUAUAGGAAUCAUCAGGUGGUCUGAUGAUUCCUAUAUGGAUGAAACAGACUGUUGUGGUUUUU